UGGGGAAUAUUGGACAAUGGGCGCAAGCCUGAUCCAGCUAUGCCGCGUGGAUGAAGAAGGCCCUAGGGUUGUAAAGUCCUUUCGUUGGUGAAGAUAAUGACGGUAACCAAAGAAGAAGCCCCGGCUAAUUUCGUGCCAGCAGCCGCGGUAAUACGAAAGGGGCUAGCGUUGUUCGGAAUUACUGGGCGUAAAGGGUGCGUAGGCGGCAUAUCAAGUCACUUGUGAAAUCUCCGGGCUUAACUCGGAACUGCCAAGUGAUACUGAUGUGCUAGAGUGCAGAAAGGGCAACUGGAAUUCUUGGUGUAGCGGUGAAAUGCGUAGAUAUCAAGAGGAACACCUGAGGCGAAGGCGAGUUGCUAGGCUGACACUGACGCUGAGGUACGAAAGCUAGGGGAGCGAACGGGAUUAGAUACCCAAGUAGUCCCUGAGCGGGCUGGCAAGGCGCAU
rnacentral:rRNA from 1 species